GACGAACGCUGGCGGCGUGCUUAACACAUGCAAGUCGAACGGCAAGGCCCUGCUUUUGUGGGGUGCUCGAGUGGCGAACGCGUGCGUAACACGUGAGUAACCUGCCCUUGACUUUGGGAUAACUUCAGGAAACUGGGGCUAAUACCGGAUAGGAGCUCCUGCUGCAUGGUGGGGGUUGGAAAGUUUCGGCGGUUGGGGAUGGACUCGCGGCUUAUCAGCUUGUUGGUGGGGUAGUGGCUUACCAAGGCUUUGACGGGUAGCCGGCCUGAGAGGGUGACCGGCCACAUUGGGACUGAGAGACGGCGCAGACUCCUACGGGAGGCAGAAGUGGGGAAUAUUGCACAAUGGGCGGAAGUCUGAUGCAGCAACGCCGCGUGCGGGAUGACGGCCUUCGGGUUGUAAACCGCUUUCGCCUGUGACGAAGCGUGAGUGACGGUAAUGGGUAAAGAAGCACCGGCUAACUACGUG
rnacentral:rRNA from 1 species